rnacentral:rRNA from 1 species
UAAUACGACUCACUAUAGGGCGAAUUGAAUUUAGCGGCCGCGAAUUCGCCCUUCCCCGUCAAUUCAUUUGAGUUUUAGUCUUGCGACCGUACUCCCCAGGCGGUCUACUUAUCGCGUUAGCUGCGCCACUAAAGCCUCAAAGGCCCCAACGGCUAGUAGACAUCGUUUACGGCAUGGACUACCAGGGUAUCUAAUCCUGUUUGCUCCCCAUGCUUUCGCACCUCAGUGUCAGUAUUAGGCCAGAUGGCUGCCUUCGCCAUCGGUAUUCCUCCAGAUCUCUACGCAUUUCACCGCUACACCUGGAAUUCUACCAUCCUCUCCCAUACUCUAGCCAACCAGUAUCGAAUGCAAUUCCCAAGUUAAGCUCGGGGAUUUCACAUUUGACUUAAUUGGCCACCUACGCGCGCUUUACGCCCAGUAAAUCCGAUUAACGCUUGCACCCUCUGUAUUACCGCGGCUGCUGGCACAGAGUUAGCCGGUGCUUAUUCUGCGAGUAACGUCCACUAUCCAAGAGUAUUAAUCUCGGUAGCCUCCUCCUCGCUUAAAGUGCUUUACAACCAAAAGGCCUUCUUCACACACGCGGCAUGGCUGGAUCAGGGUUCCCCCCAUUGUCCAAUAUUCCCCACUGCUGCCUCCCGUAGGAGUCUGGGCCGUGUCUCAGUCCCAGUGUGGCGGAUCAUCCUCUCAGACCCGCUACAGAUCGUCGCCUUGGUAGGCCUUUACCCCACCAACUAGCUAAUCCGACUUAGGCUCAUCUAUUAGCGCAAGGCCCGAAGGUCCCCUGCUUUCUCCCGUAGGACGUAUGCGGUAUUAGCAUCCCUUUCGAGAUGUUGUCCCCCACUAAUAGGCAGAUUCCUAAGCAUUACUCACCCGUCCGCCGCUAGGUCAAGUAGCAAGCUACUCUUCCCCGCUCGACUUGCAUGUGUUAAGCCUGCCGCCAGCGUUCAAUCUGAGCCAUGAUCAAACUCU